rnacentral:lncRNA from 1 species
CACAGCCAAAGCGCACGGACAGAAAGCGGCCACCACACAGCAUGUGACACUAUAGUAGCGCAGAGACUGCCUACAGAACCUUCAAUGCACGCUGGAGACAUGGCUAGUAUGCACUACAUUCAAGAAUAAAGUAGUGUUGGUGAAAAUGCUUUUGAAACGACGUUGAUUGUCACGUGGUAGGCAUUAAUUUGCAUGACAAUUGGAAUAUAACUUCACGUCUGUUUUGAUAAGCAUAAGUAAUUUCAUAUGUUCUUAAAAAUAAUCAAAAAGAUAAAACAAAGAGAAAGAGAUAAAAAUAAAAAUAAA